rnacentral:misc_RNA from 1 species
GAUGAAGAACGUAGUGAAACGCGAUAAGUAAUGUGAAUUGCAGAAUCCAGUGAAUCAUCGAAUCUUUGAACGCACAUUGCGCCCGCCAGCAUUCUGGCGGGCAUGCCUGUUCGAGCGUCAUUUCAACCCUCGACCUCCCCUUGGGGAGGUCGGCGUUGGGGACCGGCAGCACACCGCCGGCCCUGAAAUGGAGUGGCGGCCCGUCCGCGGCGACCUCUGCGCAGUAAUACAGCUCGCACCUGGACCCCGACGCGGCCACGCCGUAAAACACCCAACUUCUGAACGUUGACCUCGAAUCAGGUAGGACUACCCGCUGAACUUAAGCAUAUCAAUAAGCGGAGGA